rnacentral:lncRNA from 1 species
CGGGUUUAGGGUUUAGCAUUAGGAUUUAGGGUUUAGUGUUUUGUUGAUUGUGUUAAAAAUAUAUUUUUUUUAAUUCAAAAAUUUAAAAUUUAUCAAAGGGUUUAGGGUUUACCAAAGGUUUAGGGUUUACCAAAGGUUUAGGGUUUAGAUUUAGAGUUUAGUGUUUUGUUUAUGGUAUUAAUUUUUUUUUGAAAACUUUUUUUUGCAACUACUAUUAUUUUUAUUUAUUUAUACUUUUUUAAUUUUAAAAAUGUAAUAUAAUUUGACAAUAUUUUGUUUCCUUUUUUAAAAGAUAUCAGAUUUGAAAUAACUAAAUCUUAUUGGUUGGUGAACCUAUAGGUUCACCCUAGGGGGUGAACCCAAGAAUAACUCAAUAGUAAUUGAUUGGUUAUCAGUUUAUGCAAAUAUCUUGUUACGUGGUUGUUUUCUGAUGUUUGAAAGGUUGUUUGUUACAUGUUAAUAGGUUACAUUUUAAAUAUUCUUAAACACAUUAAAAUGAACUAAGAUUCUGUAGAUUUUGGAAAUAUUAUUAAGGCAGUAAUAUUUAUUUGAAUUAUCAAAUAUAUAUGGAUUUAAUAAUUUC